AAAAUCGCCACAAUAAUAGGGAUUUUCCGGUGUAGAAUGAUUGCUCUCACAGAUGCUUUGGAUUAAUGGCAGGGGCAUCAAGAAUGCCAAUUAUGUGCUUCCAGUUUAGUUUUUUGGUUGUCGAUUAACUGAUUUAUUGGUGGAGACCGCGACAGAGCAGGAUGGCUCAGUCAGUAAUAUCAC